UACGUAGGGCGCAAGCGUUGUCCGGAAUUAUUGGGCGUAAAGAGCUCGUAGGCGGUCUGUUACGUCCGCUGUGAAAGCCCAGGGCUUAACCCUGGGCUUGCAGUGGAUACGGGCAGACUAGAGGCAGGUAGGGGAGAAUGGAAUUCCCGGUGUAGCGGUGAAAUGCGCAGAUAUCGGGAGGAACACCGGUGGCGAAGGCGGUUCUCUGGGCCUGACCUGACGCUGAGGAGCGAAAGCGUGGGGAGCGAACAGG
rnacentral:rRNA from 1 species